GACAUAGGUGGCGAACGUUAUCCGGAAUUAUUGGGCGUAAAGGGUGCGUAGGCGGCGCGGUAAGUCGGGUGUGAAAUCUCGGAGCUUAACUCCGAAACUGCAUUCGAUACUGCCGUGCUUGAGGACUGGAGAGGAGACUGGAAUUUACGGUGUAGCGGUGAAAUGCGUAGAUAUCGUAAGGAAGACCAGUGGCGAAGGCGGGUCUCUGGACAGUUCCUGACGCUGAGGCACGAAGGUCAGGGGAGCAAACGGG
rnacentral:rRNA from 1 species